AAAGUCGUAACAAGGUUUCCGUAGGUGAACCUGCGGAAGGAUCAUUACAGAGUUCAUGCCCUCACGGGUAGACCUCCCACCCUUGUGUAUUUAUACCAUGUUGCUUUGGCAGGCUGCUGGACCCCUCGGGGGACAGCCUCGGCGCCCUCGGGCCUGAGAGUCGCCUGCCGGAGGCCAAACAAACUCUGAAUUAUUAGUGUCGUCUGAGUACUAUAUCUUAAUAGUUAAAACUUUCAACAACGGAUCUCUUGGUUCUG
rnacentral:misc_RNA from 1 species